ACUUAAUCUCCAAAUUUGAUCUCGGUAAAUACGAAUAACGAACUCAAUCGGUAAAGCAUAUUUUAACUGAAAUGUCGUUGAAAUUUGACAGUUCAUCAAAAAUUACUAGUCAAAAAUAACGAAAUUCGGUAAUAUACGUUCAUUACUGAUUAUCGGCAAACUAUUUUGCCACAGCAAUCGGCAAUAUAAUCAUGUCGCUGAAUUUCGGUAAAGCGCAUCUGUCAAAAAUGAAAACGGACACGUUGUCGUCUGGGUGCCAUCUCGAAAAAAAAAAAUGUUAGGAUUUUUUAAAGCGAAUAUCAUUCAUCGAUGGAAUUUUUAUUUCCUCGUUGGUUUGGAGAGGGAGCGCUGAAGGAGUGUUUUCUGGUGCCUGUUUUGUUGCUGCCGGGAAGCUAUUUCCAUUGUCAUGAAGGGGGAGAAGCUCCCAGUAAGCAUCUGGUCACAAAGGCCGCCCAUAAAAGUGUUCCUUUGACCGAUGCAGUGAAGAAGCCGCAUUGUUACCGGCCGGGAGCGGUAGCUUUGCGAGAAAUCCGUCGCUACCUACUAAAAGUCCACCGAGUUGCUGAUCCGCAAGUUGCCGCUCCAGUGGUGCGUUAAAUUGAGCAGGAUUUCAAGAUGGAUCUGCGCUUCCAAAGUGCCGCCGCUGCUGCCCUGCAGAAAGCCAGCGAGUACCUGAUCAGAUUGUUCGAGGACAUCAAUCUGUGCGCGACUCACACCAAGCGCGUCACAAUCAUGCCGAAGGAUAUCCAGCGGGUCCGGCGCACCCGCGAGCGUGCUUAAGGAGGACUAGGAGGAAGUGAUCCCGGAAAAGUGUUAAGUUGUGUUUUUUUUUCUAUUUUUUGUUAUUAAAGAGACUUCCAGUCUUGGGUUGGUUCAUCUCUGAAUAAAAUUUUAACCUAAUUAUA